UGGAAUGGUUUUUCAUUGAUGUAGCAGU
rnacentral:piRNA from 1 species